CUUUUCUGAUGCCUGCAUCCCU
rnacentral:piRNA from 1 species